AAGCAUAUCAGUGGGGCACUUUCGGAUCAAUUGUUUGUACCUUUCCCAAGCUUCAUAGAGGGAUUCUCCUUCCUUCUGUCUGAAGGUUUGGACUUCAACUCUAAGCUU